CGGCGUGCCUAAUACAUGCAAGUCGAACGCGCAGCGAGAGGUGCUUGCACCUUUCAAGCGAGUGGCGAACGGGUGAGUAACACGUGGAUAACCUGCCUCAAGGCUGGGGAUAACAUUUGGAAACAGAUGCUAAUACCGAAUAAAACUUAGUAUCGCAUGAUAUCAAGUUAAAAGGCGCUACGGCGUCACCUAGAGAUGGAUCCGCGGUGCAUUAGUUAGUUGGUGGGGUAAAGGCUUACCAAGACGAUGAUGCAUAGCCGAGUUGAGAGACUGAUCGGCCACAUUGGGACUGAGACACGGCCCAAACUCCUACGGGAGGCUGCAGUAGGGAAUCUUCCACAAUGGGCGCAAGCCUGAUGGAGCAACGCCGCGUGUGUGAUGAAGGCUUUCGGGUCGUAAAGCACUGUUGUAUGGGAAGAAAUGCUAAAAUAGGGAAUGAUUUUAGUUUGACGGUACCAUACCAGAAAGGGACGGCUAAAUACGUG
rnacentral:rRNA from 1 species